rnacentral:rRNA from 1 species
CGGGUGAGUAACACGUGGGUGAUCUGCCCUGCACUUCGGGAUAAGCCUGGGAAACUGGGUCUAAUACCGGAUAUGACUACGGGAUGCAUGUCUUGUGGUGGAAAGCUUUUGCGGUGUGGGAUGGGCCCGCGGCCUAUCAGCUUGUUGGUGGGGUUAAGGCCUACCAAGGCGACGACGGGUAGCCGGCCUGAGAGGGCACACGGCCACACUGGCACUGAAACACGGGCCAG